rnacentral:rRNA from 1 species
GAUUAACGCUGGCGGCGUGCAUAACACAUGCAAGUCGAACGAUGAAACUCAUUAGAUUUCUUCGGAAUGAAAAUGAAUGGAUUAGUGGCGAACGGGUGAGUAACGCGUGAGUACCCUGCCUUACACAAGGGGAUAGCCUCUGGAAACGGAGAAUAAUACCCUAUGAAACCAGACAAUCGCAUGAUAAUCUGGUCAAAAUGUUUAGUGGUGUAAGAUGGACUUGCGUCUGAUUAGCUAGUUGGUGAGAUAAAAGCUCACCAAGGCAACGAUCAGUAGCCGGCUUGAGAGAGUGUACGGCCACAUUGGGACUGAGACACGGCCCAGACUCCUACGGGAGGCAGCAGUGGGGAAUUUUGCACAAUGGGGGAAACCCUGAUGCAGCGACGCCGCGUGAUUUAGAAGGCCUUCGGGUUGUAAAAAUCUUUUGUAUAGGAAGAAAAUGACAGUACUAUACGAAUAAGGUCCGGCUAAUUACGUG